GUUCACUCAAAAAGAAAAAAGAAAAAAAGGGUAAGGUUUUGAAACAUUUUGUAUUCGAAGAGUGAUUAGCGGCAACGACUCAUAUGUAGUGGUUGUGCUACAAAUAGCUGCGAAAAUGAGCGCCAGACUCAUGAUUACCAUUGAGGAUCCUUGCCAAUCACUGAAGCUCCCUUUAGCCACUCCCCUGUCAACUAAUCUGCAGAUCAACUUGAUCGCUUGUAAUCGCAUUAUUGGCAACUUCUCUCACAUCACAAUCAUAUGAUUCAAAUAUUUGAGUCUUCCAGGCACGAUUCGAACAGAACUGAUCCAUCGUCUAUUUCUCGAAGAAAUUGAUCUUUCCUGCAAUUACCUUAAUGGCACACUUCCAAGGCAAUGGGCUUCAUGCAGCAUUUGAAUAAAAUCGGCCGUUUAACGAGGGAAAUUCCCACUGAGUGGGGAUCAUUUAACAAUCUCAUCAGUGGCUUGUGCCUUGAUGACGACCAAUUGAAUGGAACCAUCCCUCCAGAGCUUGGCUAUUUGGUCCAAUUAAUUACUUUUUUCAGGAUACUUUCUGCCAAUUGAUUUUCUGGAGACUUUCCUAGGUCACUAGGAAACCUAAAGAACUUGACAGAUUUAAUAAGUGAUCAUAACUUUACUGGCACUAUACCAGAAUUUAUUGGGGGAUGGACUAGUCUCCAAAGGCUGUAAGGACUUCAUCUUUUACAUAUUAUUCUGUUACAGAAUUUAUCUGUAUGGUGGAUCCUGAUUUACAGAUUUAUUGCCCUCCCUUUUGUUUUGUUGAAAUAUUAAAGAGAAAUGCAUUCAUGUGGACUGGAAGGACCUAUCCCGUACUCCAUUUUUGGUCUGGGAAAUUUGAGUGACCUGAGAAUCAGUGAUAUAAACGGGCCAAAGUUCAAAUUUCCAAAUUUGAGCAACAAGAACAUUAAAUACGUGUAUGCUUACUGUUUCUAAUUAGUUAUAUGUUUCCAGAAUUAUUAAUAUUUUUACUCUUAGUAGUAAAGCAUAUGCAAUUAGAGCCAUUAAAUAAUAUCAAAUGUUUCUUUAGGGUUUUGAGAUGCUUGAAUAUGUCUGGAUCUAUCCCUAAAAAAAUUUGGGAAAUCAGCAACCUGCAUGUACUGUAAGCAUAAACUUUAUUGAUCUCUUUAGAUCAGGUACAUUCAUUGCUUUUUAUAUAUUCUGUUUCUAACUUUGUAUCGUUUACUGAUUAGAGAAAUUUAAGGACCGUGCAGAGUCACAUUAAAUCUAGGAGAACAUAGACUAACCAAAGAAUACUUGAAAUUUCCAUGGUAAUGAAUAACCCCAUGAUUGUCACAUGUUUCGCUUUAAUACAGGAGAUAGAAAACUUUCAUGUUAGCCAAAAAUAGUAUGAUAAGUUGUAUGGUAGUUGACUGCUGGUUUCUACAUUUUAGAUAUAACCAUAAGGGAUGACCCAUACGAAAGAAAGUUUUUUAUAUGCAGAUGGUUUUUGCAUUCUAAAAGGGACACAAAGUUACUUGGGCAUGGAAAUUCUCUGUCUAAAAGUAUGUCCAUGCAUUGUUUUUGAGUAUUUGCCACAUCAUUGUUGGCUUUAUGUAGAUGUGGAAUAACCAUGAUCAAUAAAUUGUAAAGAAAGCAAUAUGGUUGUUGCUGAUGCAAGGAAUGGUCAUUUGCAUAUUUGCACAUGGAGGCGCAAAUGAAGAAGCUGAAAUGUUAACUUAAGAACCGAUUUAGUGAUGGUAACUAGAAGAGAUAUGGUUUGGAUGCAUAUCAUCCUUAUGAGUGAGAUAUGGUUUGGAUGCAUAUCAUCCUUAUUGAGUUUUAAUGGUAUUUUGCAAGUUUGAUUUCUUUAGCUAAGAGUUUAUAGGACUACCAGGGAGAGUGUUUCCUGUAACUCUAGGAUUUGAGUAUGUAUUUAUGUCCAUAUGCUUUUCUGUACUAUGUUCUGCUUUUUGCACUUAAAGUUUGCUACUAUUUCUAGGAUGCUUAAUGAUGUAAGGUUUCUUUUGACAACAUAUUUUGACUAUAUGUUCAUUUUCCUACUAUUUUUAUACAGUGAUUUGACCUUUAACAAGUUGGAAGGAGAAAUCAGUAGCACAGAAGUACACCCAGAUUUCAUUUAG